rnacentral:rRNA from 1 species
UACGGAGGGUGCGAGCGUUGUCCGGAAUCACUGGGCGUAAAGGCGCGUAGGCGGCCGUGUAAGUCACUUGUGAAAUCCCGGGGCUCAACCCCGGGGCUGCAGGUGAGACUGCGUGGCUAGAGCACGGUAGAGGCGAGUGGAAUUCCCGGUGUAGCGGUGGAAUGCGUAGAUAUCGGGAAGAACACCGGUGGCGAAGGCGGCUCGCUGGGCCGUUGCUGACGCUGAGGCGCGAAAGCGUGGGGAGCAAACAGG